rnacentral:rRNA from 1 species
GACGAACGCUGGCGGCGUGCUUAACACAUGCAAGUCGAACGGAAAGGCCCUGCUUUUGUGGGGUGCUCGAGUGGCGAACGGGUGAGUAACACGUGAGUAACCUGCCCUUGACUUUGGGAUAACUUCAGGAAACUGGGCUAAUACCGGAUAAGAGCUCCUGCUGCCUGGUGGGGGGUGGGAAGUUUCGGCGGUUGGGGAUGGACUCGCGGCUUAUCAGCUUGUUGGUGGGGUAGUGGCUUACCAAGGCUUUGACGGGUAGCCGGCCUGAGAGGGUGACCGGCCACAUUGGGACUGAGAUACGGCCCAGACUCCUACGGGAGGCAGCAGUGGGGAAUAUUGCACAAUGGGCGGAAGCCUGAUGCAGCAACGCCGCGUGCGGGAUGACGGCCUUCGGGUUGUAAACCGCUUUCGCCUGUGACGAAGCGUGAGUGACGGUAAUGGGUAAAGAAGCACCGGCUAACUACGUG